CUUAUAUCCCGAGCAGGCGGAGGGACUGGCCCGAUGAAGCCCGGCAACCACACCGCGCUUCCCGUGGAAGAAGAUGCAGAGAGCGAAGAGCUCCUAAUAAGUAAAGCGCUUCCCGGACGCGAUGAACGGUGCUAACCAGCAGAACGGUAUGGCACAUACAUACUUUUCUGGAUGAUAAAGG
rnacentral:ncRNA from 1 species